UUUGAGAUUGAUCUCAACUGCAAGGCACAAGGAAAAGGGUGUGGUGGUGGUAAUAAUUUUGAUGAUUCAUCUGAUGAUGAUGACAACGUUGGUGGUGGUAGUUCACAUCAUAAUAUUAUGGAUGUUCAAGUAAGUUGAUGCAUAUGACAAGACAAAAAGAUGGUGCUGUACAACAUAUGCAGGAGAUUUUAUUUGGCAUUAGUAGAGUUAGAGAAAUAAAAGUUUAUGUAACUAACUUUUAUUGAUUAGUUUUUCUUAUUAAACUUUUAUUGAAUUGUUACAAUGUGAAUUGCAUUACAAAUGAAUGUUUUUUUUU